CAAUAGCGUAUAUUAAAGUUGUUGCAGUUAAAAAGCUCGUAGUUGGAUUUGUGGUUUGAACGUUGUCGGUCACACGAUUGUGUGUACAUGACUCGUUGGACCAUCCUUGGGUGGAAUCUGUGUGGCAUUAGGUUGUCGUGCAGGGGAUGCCCAUCGUUUACUGUGAAAAAAUUAGAGUGUUCAAAGCAGGCUUAUGCCGUUGAAUAUAUUAGCAUGGAAUAAUAAUAUAGGACCUUGGUACUAUUUUGUUGGUUUGCGCACCGAGGUAAUGAUUAAUAGGGACAGUUGGGGGUAUUCGUAUUCCAUUGUCAGAGGUGAAAUUCUUGGAUUUUUGGAAGACGAACUACUGCGAAAGCAUUUACCAAGGAUGUUUUCAUUA
rnacentral:rRNA from 1 species